UCCGGAAGUGUGCAGCUGCCCGGGACCAUGGCGGUGCUUGCUGCGGGGGAUGGCGGCUUGCACGUCCGGGCGACUAGUUCUGGCCUGGUCAGUCGGCGGCCGACAUCCUGUCUGGGGCGGCGUCCCAUAGACGGUAAACGUACCUUCUGUGUGACGUCAACCCUCUAGAGGGCUUCAGCCUCCAUAGGGGCGUCUGUAUCCACAUCGCCUUCCUCCUGAAGACCCUGCUGGAAAUGGAGGAGUCGGUGCUGGUGAUACCCCCUUGGGGCCGCCUCUACCAUUGGCAGAGCCUGGACAUCCACCACGUCCGGAUUCCCUGGUCUGACUUUUGAUCUCUCAAGUCUCAACAGAAACAUCCCUGACACUGAGUACGAACAGUUCAUUGCAGAGAUGAGAAACAUCUGAAGGUGGAGGAAGAAAGUUGGAGGUGUGGGGAACACAAAGUCUUUUCUCCUUUUGCUACUGAAGAAAUGAUUGCUUUUGUAAUUAAUGAUGAUGCCCUUUAAAUUGGUGAGAUCGAGAUUCCACAGCUUCAGCGCCUGUGAAUAACCAGCCGGGAGAAAGCUCUCCAGGGCCCCUGCAGUGGGAAAGGCAGCCCCUCUGAGCACCUGUUGUUCUGUAUUCUUCCUGCCUCCACACGGGUUCGCUAAGCACCGUGCAGGACGAUGCAGUUCCCCGAGGUGGAGGACGGAGAGACCCCUGCUGGGUGGCGAGCAAGAGGAGCCCUCACUUGAAGGACAAAGGGAAGAGUAGUGGGGCGGGCGUAGGAGCAGAGGAUGGUUGAGACCCAGGAUGGUGUCCUGGAGUCUAGCAGGCGAGGCUGGUGGGGCAGAUGGGGCCCUGGGGCAUGGGCAGCCCUUGAGGAUCUGAAGCAAAGAUAGGAACCAAGAGACUGGGCUCGUGUGGGGGAACAGCGUGCCCUGGAGGCCGCGGGGCAGCGCAGCAAGCCCAGGGGGAGCGGGCACUUCCCCAAAGCUGGGUUGACAUGUCACAACCAACUCACUGGGGACCGAGAGGUACCGAGAUAUUGUUAACAUUUUGUCCCUCUUCCUGGAAAAGAAACUGCUUCCUGUUGAAUAGCCUGUGUCGUUAGUGAGAAUUAAAGACAUGAAGCAAGAUUGCCUCAAAAGUCACCCAUUGUGUAGCUGUUAAUAAGGGUCAGAUUCAAACUUGUAUAGAUUAAAUCAAACAUUCAUCAUUGGAUUUUAAAAUCCUUUAAAAUAAAAAUUCUUGCUGCCUUUGUUCUUCA